rnacentral:rRNA from 1 species
AAGUAUAGGAAUUUAUACAUCUUCCAUAAAGGAUCCGAAUGAAACCAAAGUUUUAUGUUCAAUUUUGAAUUAGAAAAGUUAAAAAUGAUGAAAUCAACAUCGACUAUAACCCCCAACCCAGACUUCUACGGGAGGCAGCGAUGGGGAAUUUUUCGCAAUGGGCGAAAGCCUGAUGGAGCAAUGCUGCGUGGAGGUAGAAAGCCUACGGGUCGUGAACUUCUUUUCCCGAAGAAGAAGUAAUGACGAUAUCUGGGGAAUGAGCAUCGGCUAACUCUGUGUUAGCAACCGGGCUACAAUACUU